ACUCCCCUCCUCUACUUCUGGUUGUCAUGAACUAAGCUCCUGUCCUCUGCCACACCCUUCCACCAUGAUGUUCCUGCCUUGAAGCCAGCCAACCAUGGACUAAAUCCCAUGAAACUAUGAGAAGGAAAUCUGAGACUAGGAAACCUGACCUUUGGAUGACCUUCUUAAUCUGGUCCCUGGACAGAACACCUGAGACACCUGAGAUCCCUGGGGAAUCCACGCUGCAAGAAAGGACGUGCAGCCGCAGGGAUCCUGAGCCCUUCCUGCACCAUGGCGUGCUGCUAAGAAUAGCGAGAGUACAGUAUGUGUGCCUCUGAAGAGCUUCCUGUGCAGUUUGCCAUCCUGGGGAAGACACCAUGCUAUCUCCUUAGUUGCCCUUCUUCUGCUCCUCCUUACUGACAAGACCUAACUUCGCUCAGGGUGACAAUGUAUCCAGUAUCUUAGAGUGAAAACACGAGGCCUGCAGGUUGAAUAGCUCUCUUGAGACUGCGAGGAUCAACCCACCAGCCAACGAUAGCAGAGCCUGGAUUCCUGAUGACUUCCUCUGCUUUGCUUACCAAGAGGAAGCUGACUUUCUUUCAGCUGAAGCUGCUGCGGUUCUGGGUCUGUUACAUGCAAUCAGAGGAAAUCUUUAAAUGAUGCAUAACUCAAUCUCAGUCUCAAAAGCCAGGCUGGGACUGGGGGUGUGGUCUAGUGGUAAAACAUGUGCUGAACAUGUGUGAGAUCCUGGGUUUAAUUUCUAGCAUGCACACACACUCACACACAGCCAAAAGUGUACACCAUUUGGAGAACUAGACAAGAAAAUUCUAAAGUUUACAAGGAAAAUUAGACAAAUAAUAACAGUAAUAAUCCCAGGACUCUGGGAGUCUGAGACAGAAGGAUCAAAAGUUUGAGGCCAACCUGGGCAACUUAGUGAGACCUUGCUUAAAAAUAAAAAUAGAAAAGAUCUGGGGAUGUGACUAUUGGUAGAGUACUACUGGGUUCCAUCCCCAGUAGCACAAAAACAAAACAAAACAAAAUCUAAAAAGGAAAAGAAAAACUGUAAAAGAUGAUUAGUAGUGGGGAAUAAUCCUCCCAGAUAUUAAAAUGCACUGCAAACCUACAGUAUAAUUAAAAUAGUGGGCUGUCUCCACUUAAAUAGGCACACAGUUUAAAAGGAAGCCCAGAAGUAUACUCAAAUACAUAUGGAAAUUUUGUCUAUGGUAGGAAUGGCACUUUGUAACCGUAGAGAGAAUAUAGACUACCCAAAAAUAGUUUUUACAACUGGGCAGCCUUAAGAGUGAGGCUGAACCCCCUACUGCAAACAUUAAAGUAAAUUUGAAAUAGAUCCAAAAUUUAAAUUUGAAAAAUAAAACCAUAAAGAAACUGGGAGAAUACUUUUAUGACCUUUGAAUGGGAAAGGGCUUUUCAGUGUGACAAAAACUACAAG
rnacentral:lncRNA from 1 species